rnacentral:rRNA from 1 species
AGAGUUUGAUCCUGGCUCAGGACGAACGCUGGCGGCGUGCCUAAUACAUGCAAGUCGAGCGGACCGGGCGGGAGCUUGCUUCCGCUUGGUUAGCGGCGGACGGGUGAGUAACACGUGGGUAACCUGCCCGUAAGACCGGGAUAACUCCGGGAAACCGGGGCUAAUACCGGAUAACACCGAAGACCGCAUGGUCUUCGGUUGAAAGGCGGCUUCGGCUGCCACUUACGGAUGGGCCCGCGGCGCAUUAGCUAGUUGGUGAGGUAACGGCUCACCAAGGCGACGAUGCGUAGCCGGCCUGAGAGGGUGACCGGCCACACUGGGACUGAGACACGGCCCAGACUCCUACGGGAGGCAGCAGUAGGGAAUCUUCCGCAAUGGACGAAAGUCUGACGGAGCGACGCCGCGUGAGCGAAGAAGGUCUUCGGAUCGUAAAGCUCUGUUGUUAGGGAAGAAGAAGUGCCGUUCGAACAGGGCGGCGCGGUGACGGUACCUAACGAGAAAGCCCCGGCUAACUACGUGCCAGCAGCCGCGGUAAUACGUAGGGGGCGAGCGUUGUCCGGAAUUAUUGGGCGUAAAGCGCGCGCAG